UUCUGCUGUGACUUGUUUAUUUUGUUUCAUUUCUGGCUUUGGUUUUUCAUUUGGCCUGAAAUGUGUUUUCGAAUAUGGCAUUAUGAUUGGUUCUUACAUGUGAAAACUAAGGAGACACCUCAGGACCAUGUGGAUUAUGUGCCUGCUAUCUGAUGCUUCACCACAGGGCUGAGAGGAACUCUCUGGAGAACAGCCUCUUUGAGGCCCAGCGACUGACAACGCAGUUGCAGACCCAGCAGGAACAGCUAGAAGGAAAGGCCGAGGCUGCUCAGCUCGCUCGCCGGGCCUUGCAAGUGGAAAUAGA
rnacentral:lncRNA from 1 species